rnacentral:rRNA from 1 species
UACAGAGACCUCAAGCGUUAUCCGGAAUCACUGGGCGUAAAGCGUUCCGAUAGGUGGUUUGGUAAGUUCUUCGUGAAAGCCCGAAGCUCAACUUCAGAAUUGCGAAGAAAACUAUCAGACUAGAGGAGCAAAGAGGGUGCUGGAACUCUGGGUGUAGCGGUGAAAUGCGUUGAUAUCCAGAGGAACACUCAAAGCGAAGGCAGGCACCUGGGUGCUUCCUGACACUUCUAGGACGAAAGCGUGGGGAGCGAAUGGG